rnacentral:rRNA from 1 species
UACGGGGGGGGUAAGCGUUGUUCGGAAUUACUGGGCGUAAAGGGCUCGUAGGCGGCCAAUUAAGUCAGACGUGAAAUCCCUCAGCUUAACUGGGGAACUGCGUCUGAUACUGGAUGGCUUGGAUUCGGGAGAGGAAUGCGGAAUUCCAGGUGUAGCGGUGAAAUGCGUAGAUAUCUGGAGGAACACCGGUGGCGAAGGCGGCAUUCUGGACCGAUAUUGACGCUGAGGAGCGAAAGCCAGGGGAGCAAAGCGGG